rnacentral:rRNA from 1 species
CUACGGGCGGCAGCAGUGGGGAAUAUUGCACAAUGGAGGAAACUCUGAUGCGGCAACGCCGCGUGGAGGAUGACACUUUUCGGAGCGUAAACUCCUUUUAUAUAGGAAGAAGAUGACGGUACUAUAUGAAUAAGCGCCGGCUAACUCCGUACCAGCAGCCGCGGUAAUACGGAGGGCGCAAGCGUUACUCGGAAUCACUGGGCGUAAAGAGCGUGUAGGCGGAUUAAAAAGUCAGAAGUGAAAUCCUAUAGCUUAACUAUAGAACUGCUUCUGAAACUCUUAAUCUAGAAUAUGGGAGAGGUAGAUGGAAUUUCUGGUGUAGGGGUAAAAUCCGUAGAGAUCAGAAGGAAUACCGAUUGCGAAGGCGAUCUACUAGAACAUUAUUGACGCUGAGACGCGAAAGCGUGGGGAGCAAACAGGAUUAGAUACCCGAGUAGUC